rnacentral:tRNA from 1 species
GGACGCAUAGCUCAGUUGGUAGAGCAUCGCCUUCACACGGCGGGGGUCACAAGUUCGAGUCUUGUUGCGUCCA